AAAAGGGCUUUGUCGAAGACCGAUUUGCGUUUCUAAUAGUGCGUCAAUUGGUUCAAAACGAAGCCCAUAGCAAUUUUUGUUACGACGGUCACUGAUCCUGGUAUUUCACAGCCACUUCAGUAACUUUUACGUGCAAUUACAAAU